UACGGGGGGGGCAAGCGUUGUUCGGAAUUACUGGGCGUAAAGCGCGUGUAGGCUGCUCUGCAAGUCGGGUGUGAAAGCCCUGGGCUCAACCUAGGAAGUGCACUCGAAACUGCAGAGCUGGAGUCCUGGAGAGGAAGGCGGAAUUCUCGGUGUAGAGGUGAAAUUCGUAGAUAUCGAGAGGAACACCGGUGGCGAAGGCGGCCUUCUGGACAGUGACUGACGCUGAGACGCGAAAGCGUGGGGAGCAAACAGG
rnacentral:rRNA from 1 species